rnacentral:lncRNA from 1 species
AUAACACUUCCUUAAAACAUUAUGUGCAUUGUUAGGAAAACGUGUGAUCACUUAAAAUUGAAAGCCACCAGUUGCUGUUAGAGCAUUUUAAAGAAGUUAGUGAUUACUGGGGUGGAGACUAAUAGCAUGGUGCUUUCUAAUUUUGUGUUCAUUUCAUGCUUUUUAGGACAAAAAAUCAUAUACAGCUGUAAGGAGUUGGUUCACACAGAAUUAGAUGUGCUGAAGCUGCCACCUGAUGUUUCCUGAUGUUGCCACACACGAGGCCUCUGUGUGACAUCUGUCUCUGAAAAUUUCUGGUCACUGCCCUUAUAAAUGGGAUCAUUUAUAGAAUAUAAGGGAUAGAGGGUCCUUCCAGAAAACCAGCCCAAGUGAAGUAAAUUCAUAGCAUAUCAGAUCCCUGCCAAGGGAAAAGUGUUGCCUAAAAUCAGCUCAAACCUGCUCUUUCCACUGGGAAAAGGAGUUCCUAGAGAACUGCAGAUUUGCCAGCCUUGAAACAGGAACAAAACAAUAACCAUCACUCAUGGGACCUGCCUGACUGGAGCUCAUCAGUGAACCCAAGCAAAGCUGAUGCAAAUCCCACCAUGCAGGAGGCUGGGCCUUCCAAGAGUAUGGUUGCUGCUUUCCAGGCUGAGAAGAUUCUCCAGAAACUUGCAGUCUGAGGAGAACUCCAGUGGUAACAAAGGAGUGACAGCAUGGACUGUGGACUGCUCAUCACUCCUGGCUGCAUCUGCAUCCCUACCCUGGUGCCAGAGGGGGACCCUUCUUCCAGAGAACCCAGGGGGGACCCUGCAAACCUCCUGCCUUCGACUGAGACAGCCAGAGAUGGAACAGGAGCUGUGUUUUAGUGUCUGCCAGAAAGAAAUCCCUGCUGAGCUGCUCCCCUGGCCUUGUGCCCACUCCGUGGUUUCCCGAGGUGCUGCAGGUCCAACCUGCUGGCCACAAGUCCAGGACAUCCUCGUGCUGAGCCAGGUCCUGUUCCUGGAGGGAUUACGAAUCCUUAUUCAUCAAGCCUUACUUCGAGUGCAACAAGAACUGCUGUUUCAGCAGCCUGGUCUAGUGAAAGGUGUGGUAGGGGGUGAAAACUGGAG